AGGGGGUAAAGACUGGAUAACGGAGCAAGCAAGGGAGUGACGGAAAUAUUCAGAGGACAAGGAGGCCCUCUCCUAAACAUCCAAGCAGCCAGAACUCUGGAGUGGACCCCUUAUCCAGGCACCUGGGCAAAUUAAAAACUUUUAAAA